rnacentral:lncRNA from 1 species
GGGAAGGAAGGGCGCGGGGGAUGGCGCCGGGACGCGGGGUCCGGGAAAGCGGGAUCGGCGCGGCGGAGAGCCGCUCGCUUCCCCUGCCUGUCCCGAGGGAGGUGCAGCAGUCCCGCUCAAAGAAGCGCCUCGAAAACAAUAGCGUAUAUUAAACAAAGAAAAUGCCACUGGGAAGAAUGGGAGGGAGGAAAAACAGCAGUUGGGAGGGGGAGAAGGGUCUGGAAGAGAUCCAGGGAAGAGCAGCGAGCCAGAGCCGCUGGUCCCCCGGGAGCGGCCGGUCGGGGCGCCCCGGCAGCCGCCGGCCGUAGGUGCCAGCCCCGCGUCCUGCCAGGGUGCAGGGGCAAGGGGGCAGCGGGUGUUCCCUGCCCGGCGCCCCGGGGGUGCGAGAGGGACCCGCGGCCCCUCCGCAGGCGACCGAAGAAAGGGGGCGGCGCUGGCAGCCCACAGAACCUGUCGCUCCCGGCAGCCAGUCAAAGGUGGCUUAGCUGUCAAGACAACUGCGGCUUUUGAAACGAUGCCGUGAACCUGCCAUGAGAAAGUCUCAGACGGAUGUCUUACAUGUUCUCAUCACUUGUUCAAGAUUGCUUCGCUCUGGACCGGCAGAAAGGAUUGUGCACCAAGCCUGGAUCUCUCCAGCAGCAGGGCUGCAAAUAAGUUUCUAUCAGAGACAAACCUGCAAUUUCCUCCUUUGCCACUCUUUUUGCUGCUGUAUAUGUGUCCUCUUGUUUUGUCCUAAAAAAAAAGAAAAAAUGGAGACAACAUAAUAGGAUUCCAGCGCCUGUAGCUCUAGCAGCUGUACUAAUGUAUUCUUCCCCAAAAAGUGAAAACAAAUUCUUGUUUUAAUUACCGUUUAAAGAUGUCAGAGGCCUUUUCACAUUAAAAAAAAAAAAGUCUGUUGACAAAGGGAUAAAAUGAUGAUUUAAUUAAAUACCUAGCAUUUCAAUUGCUUUUUCUUUUUGAUUUUUCCAUAUUGUGACUCCAAAAUUUUAAAGAUUUCUAAUACAAUUAAUACAGCAAGAUAUGUCACCAAUGUUUAGUCUUUAAUUGGUUUGGAAUUUUGUGUUAUAAGCAAUGUUUUCUCUGGGGCUUAAAGUCUUGUCUCAAGGCUGCUGUGAUAUGCUGAACACUUCUGCUUGGCAAUAGUAUUUAGAAUAUAGUCGUUGGAGAGCUACUUAAAACACCAGAAAUUAUACUGAAGUCCUUGGAGUAGCUCCAUAUUUUAGUAAAUUGUUUGAAGAAAUAAAAUAAUAGUGCGUUACA